UGCUCAAGAAUAGAUGUGUCAAAGAAAGCCUUGAUUGUGGCCCGUACCUAAUGAGAACCCUAAUCAUGUAAACGAUAUGUCUCUGCAAAUUAUACCUGUAGAGUAUGCAUUUUGAAGGUUGAGUUGAAGCCUUUGGUGACUGCUGCAAGAAGAUCGAGUCGGCCUUGUAUAACCUGUAGCGUCUCCGCUGAUGUUAGAUUGUAUCUUCAACUUCAGAAAUAAUGGCUCUUACGUUAUUUUCAGUGCUUCUGUGGUUAGUUCUCCUAGCGCCCCUCAAUGCGAAGCCUAGCCCUAGACGAGACACAAAGGCGGUGUGUAUUACGUCUUCUCCGAACAUGAGCACGGUUCUGGGCGUUGGUAUUGGGGGAGUGGUGGUGGGUGCUAUUGGGGCGGCAGUAAUCCUCAGACGUUUCCAUCGAAUCAGGCACAACCAUCGUGAGCAACAGGGAGAGUCAGGAGAUUCGGAGGGAAGCAAUUUCGAACUUGUUGAUAACACUCCGGAGAGUAAGGAUGGCAACGGGGAAUAUAAAAUAUGUGAGCUAGCUGGAUUUGGCGAGUAUGACUCUAUGCACAUGCCUGGCAAGAAGGUCACACCUAACGAGACUAGAGUUGGCGGCUAAGCAGAAUCAGAGGAACAAUAUUCCUAGGUUAGUUAACAAAAAUUUGUCAUAUUGCCAACAUUCACUCCUAUCCUAUUUGCAAAACGUAGAUGAAUUGUCAUUUGUCAUUUAAUACUGUCAUUACUAUAAACCGCUAACGAAGGUACCUGGAAAGCCUUUUGUGGCUCGUUUUAUCAUGAAGCCUCAUCAGGCCAAGUAUUUAGGGUGUUUUCCGAAUCUAUAUAAUUCAAAGUCAUUUUCAAUAUUUUAUUGUACCUCAUAUAAUCCAUUCUCCCGGAAAUGGAUUACGAUUCAUGGCUGUUUCUGCAUACUGAAUAUCCAUACAAAUCCUUUUGAAGUAUUUUGUAACCGUUCGUAGUCUUUCUUUGCUUGACAAUGUAUCUGGAAAUUGCGAUGAUACCGAGGCAUAUUUAUUACUUUGCUUAUUCAUGCACAUGGAUUGAUUUCACAUUAUGUUUUUGAUGAUUAAAUGUUGGAGGUUA